CUAAUACCAGAUUUUGAAUAUGUGAGGGUUCUGAUGAACACUGACUUUUGGGGUUUUUCUUUUCUAAAAUAACUUGCUUUUUACUGCAGGCAUAGCGCCAGCUACAGAAACUUGAGAAUACAAAAAGUGAAUGGACUCCUCAUUCUGUGCAGGUUUGCAGCAUACAGAGUAAUUUCUUCAAUACAAAAGAGCUUCCAACUCAGUCUGCAAGUUUAAGGUCCUAGAAGCAAUGAAACACAUGGACAGAUACCCCUUAAACAGAGCCUACCUGGAGAAAUUAAGUUUUCUUGGGUGGCUGCCCCACUCUGAUAAUUCAGUGGGACCAUUCCCAUUCAGUAUCAUCAUCUUUUGAGGAGGCUCAGGAAAAUACCAUUCUUGUAAUUACAGCAUAUCAGUCCCUGUGGUGAAGAGCAACAGAAGACCUACUUCCAGUAAGAAGAUUCAUCAAGAGAAGAGCGACCUGACUACUCUGUCCUGGGUUUCUCCAGAAGUGCUGUGAGGACUCAUGACAGAAAUUCCUCGGGUGCUUUGCAUUCCUGCAGGGCUCCUGGGUUUGUGUCUCUGGGGUUGCAUGGGCUGGAUGUAGUCUGCAAGCAGUGUUGGUGGCAGUUCUGGCUGGCAGAUGGGACAUCUGGGUCGUAUCAAAAAACUUAAGGUUGGACUCCUAGACAAAUGGUGAAUUCUUCCUUUUCUCUAAGAAUGCCCCCAGGGAGGAAAGAGAUACAUGUGGCACUGACUUUGUGGGAGCCAGCUGUUUAUCUCUCUGUGCAUCCAGUUCUCUUUUUAUUUCAAUGAAAUGUGAUCAGAGCAGAGACAGGAAGUUCAGCCGUGUCCUUGGGAGCGGGGAGAUCCCCAUGUGCUGCUCUUCCCUGUGCCAGGUACAGGAGAUUUCCUCUGUCUGCCUCCCAGCUUGCUGUGUUCUCCAGGGCUGCCGAACACCAGCGCCAGGAAAAUCCUGGGCUGUGCCACUUCUCAGUGCAACACAGGAGAGACUGAGUGAAAACCCGUGAUGGAACAUUUCUUCUCUCAUUUGAAGGACUUCAGUGAAAUUUGCAUCUAAAAAAGGGUAGCACAAAUCUCUUUGGAAAUCUGUCUCAAAGGCUGCGUCCCCAGCCCUGCUGCAGCUCCAGCCUGGUGGCAAAGCAAACUCAGCUGGUCUGGUCUGGUCUCAUUACACUGCAUGAGGCUUUGUAUGAAACUGUAAACAUCAAGGAAGGAUGGAUGGUAAACAUAAAAUGGACUGGUAUGCCAAAAUAGGAUAACUAGCGGUGUAGCAUCUGGUGGAUUUCAGAUUGGUGCUGGAUUAAAGUGCCUGGCAUGGUGGAUAAAGGAGCAGCAGCAGCAGAUGGAACAUGUCUUCAGUAAAUGGUUUGAUACUGCCUCACACUUUAUUCCCAUACACAAAACACUGUCACAGCAGCUGAUGUUAAUCAGUACGAGGCCUAUUGCUUGCAUUUUGUGGACUGCUCUGGUCUCUCCUCUCCCUGCCACCACCAAAAAAAGCUACAGUUGACCUGGUAAUGGGUUGAAGAAGGGCAAGAAGGAAGAGUAAAAGGUUCAGCAGUGUUUCUGCACAUGGAACGGAGAUCCAAGCUGCCCAGCUGGAAGGAGAUUACUCAAGCACUCUAGGACAGAGCCUGUCUCUCUCUUUGACCUGGAGAAGGUGACUGAGAGGUGAUUACCUCUGCCUCUCCUGCUGCAAGCAGCAAAGGUGUAGGGGACAGCAAUGAAGCUGAAGGAAGAAAUUUGUCUUGCUGAAUCAGGCAGCCUGCUGUGUACUGGAAGUUUAAAUGGAUUCAAAACAACACGAGAGAUGUAUGAGGGAAAUAGAUGGGCUGCUGGAGACAAGCACAACCCCUCCCUCUGGGAAGCCCUGAGCUGCAGAGAGCUGGGGGCUGUAGACCCUGCAGGGGCCACCUUGCCACGUACCUUGUGUCUGAUAAUCCUCUUUUCCUAAACAUAUGCUGUAGGUUGCUGCUGGAGACAGGAUCACAGGCUGGUCUCUCCCUUCACUUAACCUGCUUAUGUGAAAGCCUGAGGCUUAUUUCUGCUUCUCCACAGAAUGGUGAACUAAUACUUGAGAAAAAACCUCAGUUUUCCACCAAAUAAUGCACUUGUACCAUAAAAUGAAUAACAGUUUCCCUUUGGGAUAAUUACUUGAGUUUGUUUAGUGGCAAGUUUUGGCAGAGCUGUUUCCAAACUGAAGAUCCUGAAGAUUUGAUUUUGCUCCUAAGUCAGAAGCCAGGCUCUCUCCACCUGGCUUCACACUGGCCAGUUGACACUGAGCAAUGCUUUUAUUUGCAGAAAGCUGACAAGACAUGUGCAGGUCACUGCUGUGCCUUCUGAGAUGCAUGAGUGAGGAUUUGCACAGCAGCCUGGAAAGGACUGAGUGAGCAGGACCAUGGCUUGGGAGAGCCAAGGAUGGAGCCCAGACUGUCUGAGAAGGCUCUUGUCACUCACUGCAGGCUGUGGGCUGGGCUGGCUGCCACUCCCCUCGAGCUGCUCUCCCACGUCCUUUUCUAAAUCUGAUGCUUUCCUGGUGAUCUGCUUUGCUCUGGGCUAGCAGAGGGCAUUCCUCUUCCAUGGAGCAUUUCCCAGGUGUGAAAGGCUCCGCAGGGUUGGGCUGCACCGUGAUGCACACUGUGCCAGCCUGUGCCAGCACGGGCCCUGGGCUGCAAGGGGGGUGCACAGGCUG